GACGUAGGGUGCGAGCGUUGUCCGGAAUUAUUGGGCGUAAAGAGCUCGUAGGCGGUCUGUCGCGUCGGCUGUGAAAACCGGGGCUCAACCCCGGGCCUGCAGUCGAUACGGGCAGACUAGAGUGCGGUAGGGGAGACUGGAAUUCCUGGUGUAGCGGUGAAAUGCGCAGAUAUCAGGAGGAACACCGGUGGCGAAGGCGGGUCUCUGGGCCGUAACUGACGCUGAGGAGCGAAAGCGUGGGGAGCGAACAGG
rnacentral:rRNA from 1 species